rnacentral:tRNA from 16 species
GGGCAGUGGCGCAGUGGCUAGAUCGCCGGACUCCGGACCACGUGACCGUGGGUCGAAUCCGAGU